UUCGCAAAUCGCAUUCCUCGUUGUUAGAUAUUGGUAAAAAAAAACUAAAAAGUUAUUCUAAUAUAUUUUUUUAAUCAAUUUUGAAUUUGCUUAAGAACUUAUGAACAUCAUCUCAAGACGGGUCAUUGAAUUCAAGGGUAGGGUCUCGAGAUGCCAAUUCAACGUUACCGAGCCACGAAAAACACUACGUAUUUGGACAAAUAUCACAAGUGUUUUUGGAAAUUGCAGCAGCAACGGCAUCAUCCAUAAUCGUGUGAAAGAGAAAGUCUCAGAGCAGAGCAUGUGACUUGGGGCCAUGGUGAAGGCCAUGGGUAGACCCUUCAAAACUAAUUGACACUCCUCUUCUCCCUGUCCAACCUAAUUUGGUGAAUAUUACAUGCAUUCAAAAGCUUUGAAGG